rnacentral:sRNA from 1 species
ACUGCGUCUGUGCGGGCGUCUGGCUGCGCUCGGCGGGCGUGGCUGGGGCACCCUGGCGCCAUCUUUUUCCAGCGCGCGAAGGCAGGAGCCCGAGACUGGGGAAAGGCAGGAUCCUGGUUUCAAAAUCUCAGAAGUGUUCCUGCACUCUGUACUUCCUCCCCCACCUCUGAAGCUGCUGGGUCUCCUCCCAUCGGGGCAGGCCCAAUGGGGCUCCGCGAGUCAUCUUAGUGGAAGCCCUGGGCUCCUAAGCUUUCUUCUUCCCAAGUGUGUCCCAGCUUCAGCGCUGAUUCUUCCCUACUGCCUGGUGUCUGAGCCUCUGUCUUGACAGGCUGCCUCGGCUCCUGCCCAUCCUGCUUUCAUCCCCAGGACUGAGCUCUGAUUGCUGGUGUCCAACCCACAGAGAGGCUGUGCCACGGCUCGCCCGGUGCUAUGUUGGGGCUGAAUUGUGCCUUCCCCCUGCCAACCCCCCAACCCCAUUUACAUGUUGUAGUCCUAACCCCUGCCCAGUACCUCAGAAUGUGACUGUAUCUGGAGAUAGGGUCGUUAAAGAGCUAUUUCAGAUAUAGUGAGGUCAUCAGGGUGAGCCCUGAUCCAAUCUGACUGGUGUCCUUAUAAGAAGAGGAGAUGAGGACACACACAGAGGCCCUGUGAGGACACAGGGAGAAGAUGCCAUCCACAAGCCAAGGAGAGAGGCUCAGAGGAAACUUGAUCUUGGACUUCCAGCCUCCAGAAUCUUGAGAAAAUAAAUUUCAAUUUCAAUUUUUUUUUUAAGAGAUGAUGUCUCGCUGUCAUCCAGGCUGGAGUGCAAUAUUGCAAUCGUAGCUCACUGCAACCUCAAAGUUCUGGGCUCAGGCAAUCCUCCUGCCUCGGCCUCCUGUGUAUUUGGGACUACAGGUCUGUGCCACCACACCUGACUAUUCUUUUUAAAAUUUUUUGUAGACAUGAGGUCUCAUUAUGUUGCCCAGGCUGGUCUCAAACUCCUGAGAUCAAGCCAUCCCUCCACCUUGGCCUCCCAAAGUGCUGGGAUUACAGGCGUGAGCCAAUGAGCCCAGCCGAAAUUUCUAUUGUUGAAGCCACCCAGUUGGUGUUAAUUUGUUACAGCAGCCUGAGGAAAUCAUGCUGCCUGCCUGGAUUUUGUCUGUCACCUCCUGGCUACUAUGUCCUGCCCUCCUUCUAGCGGCUGGGAUACUUCCAUGACUUUGUGCUAGACCUGAGCACAGGCUGCUGGUUCAGCUCAUCACCCAUCUUCUGAUGAUGUCCCGAUCCCAGUGCUGGCGGCUGGAUCUGCCUCCCACCCAGGAGGUGGUUCGGACUCUAGAUCAUGGCUUCUCCCAGCCAGCUGCAUGCUGCACUCCAGAUUGUCCCCAGCCUAGAGGUCAUUGGAUGCAUCCCUCACCCAAAGCACAGAUACUCUCUAGUCUUCCUGGGAGUCCCGAAAAGUGUCCCGGAAGAGAGCUCCCUGCCGCACCAGGACCCGCCAUGGGCCGCACCAGGACCCGCCAUGGGCUACUCUUCUUCUUGUGAGGACACUUGGCUUAUUUAUUCUCCGUUUUCUUCUCUGUCGUGUCCACAUGUUUGUUUUUGUUCAGCUGGGGCCACAGUUACCUCUUCCUUCAUGUAGCUGCUUGUUACACAUUCAAAAGGCCUGCUCAAGGUGGUGUUCGUGGUCUUCGCCUCCUUGUGUGCCUGGUAUUCGGGGUACCUGCUCGCAGAGCUCAUUCCAGAUGCACCCCUGUCCAGUGCUGCCUAUAGCAUCCGCAGCCUCGGGGAGAGGCCUGUCCUCAAAGCUCCAGUCCCCAAAAGGCAAAAAUGUGACCACUGGACUCCCUGCCCAUCUGACACCUAUGCCUACAGGUUACUCAGCGGAGGUGGCAGAAGCAAGUACGCCAAAAUCUGCUUUGAGGAUAACCUGCUUAUGGGAGAACAGCUGGGAAAUGUUGCCAGAGGAAUAAACAUUGCCAUUGUCAACUAUGUAACUGGGAAUGUGACAGCAACACGAUGUUUUGAUAUGUAUGAAGGCGGCACUGACUCUUGACUGCAGUUGUUGGCCAGGAUAUACUAUCCCCUCUUAUUUUUAUAUAUCAAUGAGACUUUCAAAAACAAGUUUUUAUAAAGAUAGUGAAGACGAAGAAUAGAAAACGCCUGCACCCACCCAAUAAGAAGGACACAGUUGUACUCUGCAGUUAACCUAAGCAGAACAGUAAAUAAUGAGCCGCAGUGAUAACUCUGGACCGAUGACAAAGUUUAUUCAGAGUGCUGCUCCAAAAUCCCUGCUCUUCAUGGUGACCUAUGACGACGGAAGCACAAGACUGAAUAACGAUGCCAAGAAUGCCAUAGAAGCACUUGGAAGUAAAGAAAUCAGGAACAUGAAAUUCAGGUCUAGCUGGGUAUUUAUUGCAGCAAAAGGCUUGGAACUCCCUUCCGAAAUUCAGAGAGAAAAGAUCAACCACUCUGAUGCUAAGAACAACAGAUAUUCUGGCUGGCCUGCAGAGAUCCAGAUAGAAGGCUGCAUACCCAAAGAACGAAGCUGACACUGCAGGGUCCUGAGUAAAUGUGUUCUGUAUAAACAAAUGCAGCUGGAAUCGCUCAAGAAUCUUAUUUUUCUAAAUCCAACAGUCCAUAUUUGACGAGUAUUUUGGGUUUGUUGUAAACCAAUGAACAUUUGCUAGUUGUAUCAAAUCUUGGUAUGCAGUAUUUUUAUACCAGUAUUUUAUGUAGUGAAGAUGUCAAUUAGCAGGAAACUAAAAUGAAUGGAAAUUCUUAAA